AUUGAACGCUGGCGGCAUGCCUUACACAUGCAAGUCGAACGGUAACGGGCCUUCGGGUGCCGACGAGUGGCGAACGGGUGAGUAAUGCAUCGGAACGUACCUUUCAGUGGGGGAUAACGUAGCGAAAGUUACGCUAAUACCGCAUACUCUGUGAGCAGGAAAGCAGGGGAUCGCAAGACCUUGCGCUGAUUGAGCGGCCGAUGUCAGAUUAGCUAGUUGGUGAGGUAAAGGCUCACCAAGGCGACGAUCUGUAGCGGGUCUGAGAGGAUGAUCCGCCACACUGGAACUGAGACACGGUCCAGACUCCUACGGGAGGCAGCAGUGGGGAAUUUUGGACAAUGGGGGCAACCCUGAUCCAGCCAUGCCGCGUGAGUGAAGAAGGCC
rnacentral:rRNA from 1 species